rnacentral:rRNA from 1 species
AGAGUUUGAUCCUGGCUCAGAUUGAACGCUGGCGGCAGGCCUAACACAUGCAAGUCGAGCGGAUGAGAAGAGCUUGCUCUUCGAUUCAGCGGCGGACGGGUGAGUAAUGCCUAGGAAUCUGCCUGGUAGUGGGGGACAACGUUUCGAAAGGAACGCUAAUACCGCAUACGUCCUACGGGAGAAAGCAGGGGACCUUCGGGCCUUGCGCUAUCAGAUGAGCCUAGGUCGGAUUAGCUAGUUGGUGAGGUAAUGGCUCACCAAGGCGACGAUCCGUAACUGGUCUGAGAGGAUGAUCAGUCACACUGGAACUGAGACACGGUCCAGACUCCUACGGGAGGCAGCAGUGGGGAAUAUUGGACAAUGGGCGAAAGCCUGAUCCAGCCAUGCCGCGUGUGUGAAGAAGGUCUUCGGAUUGUAAAGCACUUUAAGUUGGGAGGAAGG